rnacentral:rRNA from 1 species
CGGGACACGUGGUAUCCUGUCUGAAUAUGGGGGGACCAUCCUCCAAGGCUAAAUACUCCUGACUGACCGAUAGUGAACCAGUACCGUGAGGGAAAGGCGAAAAGAACCCCGGCGAGGGGAGUGAAAAAGAACCUGAAACCGUGUACGUACAAGCAGUGGGAGCACGCUUAGGCGUGUGACUGCGUACCUUUUGUAUAAUGGGUCAGCGACUUAUAUUCUGUAGCAAGGUUAACCGAAUAGGGGAGCCGAAGGGAAACCGAGUCUUAACUGGGCGUUAAGUUGCAGGGUAUAGACCCGAAACCCGGUGAUCUAGCCAUGGGCAGGUUGAAGGUUGGGUAACACUAACUGGAGGACCGAACCGACUAAUGUUGAAAAAUUAGCGGAUGACUUGUGGCUGGGGGUGAAAGGCCAAUCAAACCGGGAGAUAGCUGGUUCUCCCCGAAAGCUAUUUAGGUAGCGCCUCGUGAAUUCAUCUCCGGGGGUAGAGCACUGUUUCGGCAAGGGGGUCAUCCCGACUUACCAACCCGAUGCAAACUGCGAAUACCGGAGAAUGUUAUCACGGGAGACACACGGCGGGUGCUAACGUCCGUCGUGAAGAGGGAAACAACCCAGACCGCCAGCUAAGGUCCCAAAGUCAUGGUUAAGUGGGAAACGAUGUGGGAAGGCCCAGACAGCCAGGAUGUUGGCUUAGAAGCAGCCAUCAUUUAAAGAAAGCGUAAUAGCUCACUGGUCGAGUCGGCCUGCGCGGAAGAUGUAACGGGGCUAAACCAUGCACCGAAGCUGCGGCAGCGACGCUGAUGCGUUGUUGGGUAGGGGAGCGUUCUGUAAGCCUGUGAAGGUGUGCUGUGAGGCAUGCUGGAGGUAUCAGAAGUGCGAAUGCUGACAUAAGUAACGAUAAAGCGGGUGAAAAGCCCGCUCGCCGGAAGACCAAGGGUUCCUGUCCAACGUUAAUCGGGGCAGGGUGAGUCGACCCCUAAGGCGAGGCCGAAAGGCGUAGUCGAUGGGAAACAGGUUAAUAUUCCUGUACUUGGUGUUACUGCGAAGGGGGGACGGAGAAGGCUAUGUUGGCCGGGCGACGGUUGUCCCGGUUUAAGCGUGUAGGCUGGUUUUCCAGGCAAAUCCGGAAAAUCAAGGCUGAGGCGUGAUGACGAGGCACUACGGUGCUGAAGCAACAAAUGCCCUGCUUCCAGGAAAAGCCUCUAAGCAUCAGGUAACAUCAAAUCGUACCCCAAACCGACACAGGUGGUCAGGUAGAGAAUACCAAGGCGCUUGAGAGAACUCGGGUGAAGGAACUAGGCAAAAUGGUGCCGUAACUUCGGGAGAAGGCACGCUGAUAUGUAGGUGAAGCGACUUGCUCGUGGAGCUGAAAUCAGUCGAAGAUACCAGCUGGCUGCAACUGUUUAUUAAAAACACAGCACUGUGCAAACACGAAAGUGGACGUAUACGGUGUGACGCCUGCCCGGUGCCGGAAGGUUAAUUGAUGGGGUCAGCGCAAGCGAAGCUCUUGAUCGAAGCCCCGGUAAACGGCGGCCGUAACUAUAACGGUCCUAAGGUAGCGAAAUUCCUUGUCGGGUAAGUUCCGACCUGCACGAAUGGCGUAAUGAUGGCCAGGCUGUCUCCACCCGAGACUCAGUGAAAUUGAACUCGCUGUGAAGAUGCAGUGUACCCGCGGCAAGACGGAAAGACCCCGUGAACCUUUACUAUAGCUUGACACUGAACAUUGAGCCUUGAUGUGUAGGAUAGGUGGGAGGCUUUGAAGUGUGGACGCCAGUCUGCAUGGAGCCGGCCUUGAAAUACCACCCUUUAAUGUUUGAUGUUCUAACGUUGACCCGUGAUCCGGGUUGCGGACAGUGUCUGGUGGGUAGUUUGACUGGGGCGGUCUCCUCCUAAAGAGUAACGGAGGAGCACGAAGGUUGGCUAAUCCUGGUCGGACAUCAGGAGGUUAGUGCAAUGGCAUAAGCCAGCUUGACUGCGAGCGUGACGGCGCGAGCAGGUGCGAAAGCAGGUCAUAGUGAUCCGGUGGUUCUGAAUGGAAGGGCCAUCGCUCAACGGAUAAAAGGUACUCCGGGGAUAACAGGCUGAUACCGCCCAAGAGUUCAUAUCGACGGCGGUGUUUGGCACCUCGAUGUCGGCUCAUCACAUCCUGGGGCUGAAGUAGGUCCCAAGGGUAUGGCUGUUCGCCAUUUAAAGUGGUACGCGAGCUGGGUUUAGAACGUCGUGAGACAGUUCGGUCCCUAUCUGCCGU